rnacentral:rRNA from 1 species
CGGACGGGUGAGUAAUGCAUAGGAAUCUGCCCAGUAGUGGGGGACAACUCGGGGAAACUCGAGCUAAUACCGCAUACUUCCUACGGGAAAAAGACUUCGGUCGCUAUUGGAUGAGCCUAUGUCAGAUUAGCUUGUUGGUAGGGUAAUGGCCUACCAAGGCGACGAUCUGUAGCUGGUCUGAGAGGAUGAUCAGCCACACUGGGACUGAGACACGGCCCAGACUCCUACGGGAGGCAGCAGUGGGGAAUAUUGGACAAUGGGCGAAAGCCUGAUCCAGCAAUGCAGCGUGUGUGAAGAAGGCCUGAGGGUUGUAAAGCACUUUCAGUAGGGAAGAUAAUGACGGUACCUACAGAAGAAGCACCGG